rnacentral:lncRNA from 1 species
CAGAUGGGGUUUGCAGGAGCAAUGGCUGUAGGGACACUAAGAUUUCACCCUCCAGAAGACAGCAUCUUCCUGUGCCAUGGCUAGAUCACCAGCUACCCACAGACAGCCUGAACUCCAAUUGUCUUCCUGCACAUGUGCCUUUAAAGGAACUUUUCAAAUGUAGAGGAGCCUUUAGAAGGAAGCCUUGAGCAUGAGGGCAGACCCCCCUCAUCCAACCACCACCUGACUCUGUGUGAACCUGGAACUGUUAGAAUGUCUGUGCUGUGAUAAAAGGUCAUCUCCCUACAAUGUUAUGAUACAGACCUCAAACCUACAAACAUGAGGAACUUCUGCCUCUAGGUUAACUGGUUACCCACUGUACAAGACACGUUACACACAGUCCAGGAGGCGGAGCUUCUGAGAUAUCUAGAAACAGCUUAGAGGCAAAAUGACAAAAUAAAGCAGCAACAACAAAUAAAACCAA